rnacentral:tRNA from 1 species
CUCCUUUGAGCAUGACGUUAUUCGUCCUGUCGGGCGUCCUCACAAAUUACCUGCAUUCAGAGAUUCAUACCGGCACAGGUCGGUAUGCGAAGUCCCUUUUGGGGCCUUAGCUCAGCUGGGAGAGCACCUGCUUUGCAAGCAGGGGGUCGUCGGUUCGAUCCCGACAGGCUCCACCAUAUUGAGUGAAAAGACUUCGGGUCUGUAGCUCAGGUGGUUAGAGCGCACCCCUGAUAAGGGUGAGGUCGGUAGUUCGAGUCUACCCAGACCCACCACUCUGAAUGUAGUGCACACUUAAGAAUUUAUAUGGAUCAGCGUUGAGGCUGAGACAUGUUCUUUUAUAACUUGUGACGUAGCGAGCGUUUGAGAUAUCUAUCUAAACGUGUCGUUGAGGCUAAGGCGGGGACUUCGAGUCCCUAAAUAAUUGAGUCGUAUGUUCGCGUUGGUGGCUUUGUACCCCACACAACACGGCAUGUAGCUCCGAGGCAACUUGGGGUUAUAUGGUCAAGCGAAUAAGCGCACACGGGAA